rnacentral:rRNA from 1 species
AGCGCAGACGGUUAUUUAAGCAAGAUGUGAAAGCCCCGGGCUCAACCUGGGAACUGCGUUUUGAACUGGGUAACUAGAGUGUGUCAGAGGGGGGUAGGAAUUCCACGUGUAGCAGUGAAAUGCGUAGAGAUGUGGAGGAAUACCGAUGGCGAAGGCAGCCCCCUCGGGAUAACAACUGACGUUCAUGCUCGAAAGCGUGGGUAGCAAACA